UACAGAGGGUGCAAGCGUUAAUCGGAAUUACUGGGCGUAAAGCGUGCGCAGACGGUUGCGUAAGUCAGAUGUGAAAGCCCCGGGCUCAACCUGGGAAUUGCAUUUGAGACUGCGUAGCUAGGGUGCGGAAGAGGGAAGCGGAAUUUCCGGUGUAGCGGUGAAAUGCGUAGAUAUCGGAAGGAACACCAGUGGCGAAAGCGGCUCCCUGGUCCAGCACCGACGUUCAGGCACGAAAGCGUGGGGAGCGAACAGG
rnacentral:rRNA from 1 species